GACGAACGCUGGCGGCGUGCCUAAUACAUGCAAGUAGGACGCAGUUGCGCACGGGUGAGUAACGCGUAGGUAACUACCUAUUAGAGAGGGAUAACUCUUUGAAACGAUAGCUAAUACCGCAUACUAGUAGAUGGACCUGCGUUGUAUUAGGUAGUAGGUAGGGUAAUGGCCUACCUAGGCAACGAUACAUAGCCGACCCGAGAGGGGGAUCGGCCACACGUGGACUGAGACACUGCCCAGACCUCUACGGGAGGCAGCAAGAGGGAAUCGUCGGCAAUGGGGGGAACCCUGACCGAGCAACGGCGCGUGAGUGAAGAAGGUUUUCGGAUCGUAAAGCUCUGUUGUUAAGGAAGCGGUACUUAACCAGAAAGGGACGGCUAACUACGUGCCAGCAGCCGCGGUAAUAC
rnacentral:rRNA from 1 species